UGGGGAAUAUUGCACAAUGUACGGAAGUCUGAUGCAGCAACGCCGCGUGCGGGAUGACGGCCUUCGGGUUGUAAACAGCUUUUUCUCAUGACGAAGUUUUUUGACGGUAGUGGGGGAAGAAGCACCGGCUAACUACGUGCCAGCAGCCGCGGUGAUACGUAGGGUGCGAGCGUUGUCCGGAAUUAUUGGGCGUAAAGAGCUUGUAGGCGGUUUGUCGCGUCGAUAGUGCAAACUCAGUGCUUAACGCUGAGCCUGCUGUUGAUACGGGCAGACUAGAGGAAGGUAGGGGAGAAUGGAAUUCCCGGUGGAGCGGUGGAAUGCGCAGAUAUCGGGAGGAACACCGGUGGCGAAGGCGGUUCUCUGGGCCUUUCCUGACGCUGAGAAGCGAAAGCGUGGGGAGCGAACAGG
rnacentral:rRNA from 1 species